GCGCCUUUAGCUCAGUGGUAGAGCGUUCCGUUCACAUCGGAAAGGCCGUAGGUUCGAUCCCUACAAGGCGCACCA
rnacentral:tRNA from 1 species